rnacentral:ribozyme from 1 species
AAAACGCCUUAUGGGUCCCAAAUAACAAAUUUUUUUUUUUUUUUUUUAAAAUUUUUUUUUUUUUUUUUUUUUUUUUUUUUUUAUAUCCAAAC